AUUUGUCUAAUACAGGUCAUAUAUUAGGCUUUUCUUUUUCAGUGGUCAACGUGGUUCAAUUUCCAGCUAGGACAUAAUUUGCACAAUAACCUGAAGUUGAAAUUAAUACUAAGAAACAAGCUGUACUGUGUGUAAGAAAAAUCCAUUAAGCUGUCUGCAUUAGAGGAAGAAGCUGACCAAUGGAGUUGAAGCAAAUGUGUUAUACCGUAAGAAGAAAGGUUCAGACAAAUAUCACAGGAACCAGGAUGACACUCCAAUAAGUGAAGUAUGAAGAAACUUUGUCUUUUCUGAGCCAUCUUCUCAUAUGUAGCUGAAAGCUACACAGAGGAAGAAGAAAUGAUUCUACAGACCUACUGUCACACUGUGUUUCCAUGGGUGCGUGGGCAAACUGAUCUAGUACUUGAUCCAGCAGCUGUCUGUGACAGAGAAGGUGGAACUUGACUGACGUCCCUUCCAACCCAAGCCAUUGUAUGGUUCUAUGAAUAUAUUCCAAAUAUCCGAAGGUAAUGCUUUGUUGUAUUUAAAACUUGCGUUCUUAUUACUAAACAUUUCCAAUAGAUCUGGAAUCUCACUCCAUUUUUUCUUCUAGUUUAGAAAAGCUGGAGAUUACACUUCAGAAAGUCAAACUUUCUCUUAGAAACAUAUGGUGAUGCAAGUUGGAUGCAUACUGAAAAAACUUGAGAAAGUUUCAGAAAGCAGAAGAGGAUCAGGAUAGAUUUACUUGCUGCUUUCACCUUGUUCCGACACUGCUUGUUUGCAGAAAAGACUUGCUUACAUAAUUUCACUGCCUUUCUGCCUUUUCAUGUGGGGACAAUACUUAAACUGGUACAACACAAGCUAUAUUACAGUAGAGAUGGACAUCACAACUAAUAUGAAACCAAAGAGCAACAUUUGCUGUACUUACUCAAGAAUAUAAAAGAGCUUUUAACCUAAAUCUGUUGACAUGAAGUGAAAAAUGAAAUGGUUUUCUCUUGGAAAUUAAAUAGAACUGAAAGUGGGUUUUGCUGUUGUUACAAUUUCUGCCAUUGGUUCAUUUCGUAGAAUUACUUCUAUAAUUUCAAGUGUAGCCCACCAAAGUUAAUACAGUGCUACAAAAACAUCAUAAGUUCAAAAGCUCAGACUACCAGUCUUCAUUUCAUAAACUUAUUUUUUUACUUACA
rnacentral:lncRNA from 1 species